CAGAAAAUAGCUUAUCUAAAGCACCUAGCUUACAACUAGGAGAUGUCUAAUUUACUAAGACUUUUUUGC
rnacentral:tRNA from 1 species